AUUGGAAGUAAAAGUCGUAACAAGGUUUCCGUAGGUGAACCUGCGGAAGGAUCAUUAGUGAAUUGAAUAUGUUAGCGGACCUCUUCGGAGUCCCUAGCAUCAAAUCAUAUCCAUAACACCUGUGAACUGUAAGGCUGUCUUGAAAACGAAAGUGAUUAGAGCGCCUGCCCAUUUUAUACAAACAUUAAAGUAACAAACGUAGUCUUAUUAUAAUCUAAUAAAACUUUCAACAACGGAUCUCUUGGCUCUCGCAUCGAUGAAGAACGCAGCGAAAUGCGAUAAGUAAUGUGAAUUGCAGAAUUCAGUGAAUCAUCGAAUCUUUGAACGCACCUUGCGCUCUUUGGUAUUCCGAAGAGCAUGCCUGUUUGAGUGUCAUGAAAAUAUCAACCUUGACUUGGGUUUAGUGCUCUUGUCUUGGCUUGGAUUUGGCUGUUUGCCGCUCGAAAGAGUCGGCUCAGCUUAAAAGUAUUAGCUGGAUCUGUCUUUGAGACUUGGUUUGACUUGGCGUAAUAAGUUAUUUCGCUGAGGACAAUCUUCGGAUUGGCCGAGUUUCUGGGACGUUUGUCCGCUUUCUAAUACAAGUUCUAGCUUGCUAGACAUGACUUUUUUAUUAUCUGGCCUCAAAUCAG
rnacentral:rRNA from 1 species